rnacentral:rRNA from 1 species
GACGAACGCUGGCGGCGUGCUUAACACAUGCAAGUCGAACGGAAAGGCCCUGCUUUUGUGGGGUGCUCGAGUGGCGAACGGGUGAGUAACACGUGAGUAACCUGCCCUUGACUUUGGGAUAACUUCAGGAAACUGGGGCUAAUACCGGAUAGGAGCUCCUGCUGCAUGGUGGGGGUUGGAAAGUUUCGGCGGUUGGGGAUGGACUCGCGGCUUAUCAGCUUGUUGGUGGGGUAGUGGCUUGCCAGGGCUUUGACGGGUAGCCGGCCUGGGAGGGUGACCGGCCACAUUGGGACUGAGAUACGGCCCAGACUCCUACGGGAGGCAGCAGUGGGGAAUAUUGCACAAUGGGCGGAAGCCUGAUGCAGCAACGCCGCGUGCGGGAUGACGGCCUUCGGGUUGUAAACCGCUUUCGCCUGUGACGAAGCGUGAGUGACGGUAAUGGGUAAAGAAGCACCGGCUAACUACGUG